AGAAGUAAUCAUAUAUUCAUAAACCCAAAAAUAUCGAGACUUGAGAGCACAUAUCUCCUGUUUCCGAUAUUCUCUCCGAUUUUCUAGAUUGCUUUUGCCGUUUCCACUUCUCCACUCCAUUGAUUCGUUUCUCUUCUUAAAGCCUAUAUAAACCCCAAAUUGGCAAACUGGAAACCCUAAAUCCCCUAAACGAUUCACGAGAAAGAGCUGCUAAACCUACUCUAUCAGCUUCUUCGACAAAUCAAUCGUCGAUGGGUUCUUCUUCACCUCCUCAACGACAACAAGAUGAAUAUCAGAAUCAGAAUGAUGAUGAAUCAGAGAGAAGUGAAGAUGAUGUGGUGACUUGGUGAAAAUGUCUUAUGUUCUUGUUUUGUAUUAAGUUGUUAUCUUAUUCUUUAACAUGCUUUUUAUCUCUACAGAUCCUUCGACAUUGGGAUUUUGUAGCUUCUGGAUGAAGACUCAUUAAGCUUGUAUGGAAGUGAAGUGAUUCUGGAUUGAUUUUCUUUCUCUCUCUCUAAACUCUUAGCUCUUAUGCUCUCUCCCUCUUUGGUACUUUGCAUUCUGGUUUUUGAAUGUUGGAAUUGUUUCUAGGUUGUUUUUCUUUUUUACUCUAAACUCCUUAUUCUCUCUUUGUUUGGAUUUGAAUUCUGGUUGUUCUAAUACUCUUAUGCUAUGCAUUUCUUCUUUAGUUUUGAAUUGAUUUUUGAAUUCUAUU